GACGAACGCUGGCGGCGUGCUUAACACAUGCAAGUCGAACGGAAAGGCCCUGCUUUUGUGGGGUGCUCGAGUGGCGAACGGGUGAGUAACACGUGAGUAACCUGCCCUUGACUGUGGGAUAACUUCAGGAAACUGGGGCUAAUACCGGAUAGGAGCUCCUGCUGCAUGGUGGGGGUUGGAAAGUUUCGGCAGUUGGGGAUGGACUCGCGGCUUAUCAGCUUGUUGGUGGGGUAGUGGCUUACCAAGGCUUUGACGGGUAGCCGGCCUGGGAGGGUGACCGGCCCCAUUGGGCCUGGGCUACGGCCCAGCCUCCUCCGGGAGGCAGCAGUGGGGAAUAUUGCACAAUGGGCGGAAGCCUGAUGCAGCACCGCCGCGUGCGGGAUGACGGCCUUCGGGUUGUAAACCGCUUUCGCCUGUGACGAAGCGUGAGUGACGGUAAUGGGUAAAGAAGCACCGGCUAACUACGUG
rnacentral:rRNA from 1 species